CCUGGAGGGAGAGGGAGGAGGAGGAGAAGAAGGGGCCUGGAGGUUAUCGGCUCCAUACACAGUUAGGAGACAGGCACUUGGUGGUGGCAGUUCGGAGGCCUCCCUCACUGACCUCUGUCCUGCCUGGGGCCACCAGAGAAGGACAAUAUUACAAACACCCCCUCCCCCAGGAACCCUCCCAGCGAAGGCACAGCCUGCUGAGCCCUAGCCAAGGCAAUCGAGGACCUUGGAGUAGCAGACAGAGGUGGGAAAGUGGAGAGAGGGGGAGAGAGGGAGGGAAGGAGCAGAGAAAAGGAGGGAGACCCGACAUGUCCCAAGAGAUGGGGGAACUCACCCAAACCCGGCUACAGAAGAUCUGGAUUCCCCAUACCAGCGGCAGCCGUCUGCAGCGUGGCAGAGGCUCAUCCAUUCCCCAGCUCACCAACUCCCCAACGAUGGUGAUCAUGGUGGGGCUGCCUGCACGGGGCAAGACCUAUAUCUCUACAAAGCUUACUAGGUACCUCAACUGGAUUGGGACCCCAACCAAAGUGUUCAAUUUAGGCCAGUACCGCCGAGAGGCCGUCCAAUACAAGAACUAUGAGUUCUUUCGGCCAGAUAACAAGGAAGCCCUGGUCAUCCGGAAGCAGUGCGCGCUGGCAGCUCUGAAGGAUGUCCAUGAUUACCUUGGCCAUGAGGAAGGCCACGUAGCGGUUUUUGAUGCCACCAAUACUACUAGGGAAAGACGGUCACUCAUUCUGCAGUUCGCCAAGGAGCAUGGGUACAAGGUUUUCUUCAUUGAGUCCAUCUGUGAUGACCCAGACAUCAUUGCUGAGAACAUCAGACAAGUCAAGCUGAGCAGCCCAGAUUACAAAGACUGUGACCGGGAGAAGGUAGUGGAAGACUUUCUGAAGAGAAUUGAAUGCUAUGAGAUGAAUUACCAGCCCAUCGAUGAGGAGCUAGACAGCCAUUUGUCUUACAUCAAGAUCUUUGACGUGGGGACCCGUUAUCUGGUGAACCGGGUACAGGAUCACAUCCAGAGCCGCACUGUGUAUUACCUUAUGAACAUCCAUGUCACACCUCGCUCCAUCUACCUGUGCCGGCAUGGCGAGAGCGAACUGAACCUCAAGGGCCGAAUUGGCGGAGACUCAGGCCUUUCCACCAGGGGCAAGCAGUACGCACACACCUUAGCUAACUUCAUCCAGUCUCAGGACAUCAGCUCCCUGAAGGUCUGGACAAGCCACAUGAAGAGAACUAUCCAGACGGCUGAGGCCCUGAGGGUCCCUUAUGAGCAGUGGAAGGCCCUGAAUGAGAUAGAUGCUGGUGUCUGUGAAGAGAUGACUUAUGAAGAGAUCCAACAGCAUUACCCAGAAGAAUUUGCACUUCGAGACCAGGACAAAUAUCGCUACCGCUACCCCAAGGGAGAGUCCUAUGAGGAUUUGGUACAGCGUCUAGAGCCCGUGAUCAUGGAACUGGAGCGUCAGGAGAACGUGUUGGUGAUCUGCCACCAGGCUGUGAUGCGUUGUCUCCUGGCCUACUUUCUGGAUAAGAGUGCAGAGGAGCUGCCUUAUCUCAAAUGUCCCCUGCAUACGGUACUCAAACUCACCCCAGUGGCUUACGGUUGCAAAGUUGAGUCCAUUUACCUGAAUGUGGAGGCGGUGAACACCCACCGGGAAAAGCCCGAGGAACUUCCACCCUGUUCCUCUGGCCAGCCCCCCACCAACCAAACAGCCCUCCCUGGAAGACCUGAGUGAAGCCCUCCCUUCCCUGACCGCUCAGCUCAAGCAAGGAUGUGCUAAGGGCCGGUGGUGGUCACAGCGAUGCAGAGAAGUGAGGGAGUCAGGAGGAAACAGCCCUGGCCAGGCCUCUGGAGUCUCUCCUUCCCAGUCUGCCACAAGGCAGACACGUAACAAGCAUUUGUUAGGUGCCUAUGAGGUGCCAUACACUGUACUCAGCACUUUACAAUUAUUAUCUCACUGGAACCUCACCACAACUCCAACAGAACGUGGAUGUCACCCGUGAACCUGAAGAAGCCCUGGAUACAGUGCCAGCUCACUACUAAGCGUCUUGGGACAGGCCACAGAGCCACCUUCCCUUCUCAUUCCCACAGCCAGAGGCUGGCCUACCUGCUAGCAAAGGGAUCCACAUCUCCCAUCCAGCCUUCCAGUCUCACAGCUGAGCAAAGACCAAAGCCAGGCCCUGGUUUAGCCAUGUUAGUUUUGGAAACCAAGGCAGAUCAGAAAAGAGGGUGGGGGCAGGAGGGCGGGAGGCAGAGAAGCCAAUGAUACAAAAGGGUAAGGAAGAAAGGUAACCACUAACAUUGCCCCCAAGCAGGCCCUUGCCUACGCCAUGUGGCCGCAGGUACUCAGCAUUCCCAGGGGCACAGCUAAGGACUGACCCCAAGUCUACUGGGCCUUUCCUGGAUGAAGAGUAUCUCGAGGUACCCCCAACAGUUCACAUGCUGAAAUCCAAGCAGUUCAUGCACCCCCCCCACGUGGACUUACCUUGCAACACAAUAAAAUCAGCAGAUUCUCUGUGUGGGGGGAGAUCA